GCACCGCAUGACCUGCCUGUUCUGCAUCAACGUCCUGGCGGAGGCCUGCGGUGCGGAGAUGACGGUGAAACUGAUGCUGCCCACUGUCCUCGGUAUGGCGAGCGACCACGUGGCCAACGUCAGGUUUAACGUGGCCAAAACACUGCAGAAGAUGUGCCCUAUCCUGGAGUCGAGCGUGGUGCAGGCGCAGGUGAAGCCC